rnacentral:lncRNA from 1 species
GAAUGUCCUUGUAGUUCCUGACCCAGGCAUACUGCAGAAUGUCCUUGUAGUUCAUGACCCAGGCAUACUGGAGAAUGUCCUUGUAGUUCCUGACCCAGGCAUACUGGAGAAUGUCCUUGUAGUUCAUGACCCAGGCAUACUGGAGAAUGUUCUUGUAGUUCAACUUAUCAGUCAAAAAACAAACAAAAAAACUAUAAAACCUCAGAAGUCAACAUGGUCACUAAACUGGACAAACAAGAAACAUUGGUAGGACCCUUUCUUUAGGGGUCCAGGAAAAUGUCAAAUGCUGCAUUUACACACAGGCAGCCCAAUUCGGAUGUUUCUUUCAACUAAUUGGUAUUUUGGCCAAUCAGCAGUUACUGGUGCAUUUAGGAGCAGGUAGUGGUGUGUUUAGGAGCAGGUACUGGUGUAUUUAGGAGCAGGUACUGGUGUAUUUAGGAGCAGGUACUGGUGUAUUUAGGAGCAGGUACUGGUGUAUUUAGGAGUAGGUACUGAUGUAUUUAGGAGCAGGUACUGGUGUAUUUAGGAGCAG